GGGCGUAAAAGUGAUAUGACUGUGAAUUCUGUCACCCCAUUGAUUACCAUGGUUGAUUGAGCAAAUCUGCCUGGCUAAGCAGGUGUCUCCUUCCUCCCUCACCUCUCCAUGUGCAUCCCUUCUGAAGCUGUGUGCUCAGUUGAUGAGGAUGGCCACCCCCGAUAGAGGAGGAUGAACCUAUUAGCGGUC
rnacentral:snRNA from 1 species